AUGGGUGGGUUUAUGGAUGAAAACCAGUUGUGUCAAUGAUAACAUUUGCUUCUUUAUAUCAUGAUGUGGUAUAACGUAAUAUGUACGGAUUUAGUUCAAUAAUGUGCUGUGAGUACAGAGGUAUAGCAUGAUUCGGCAAUUCUAAACUGAAUAUGCAGAGAUAUCAAUAGAUUAUAACAAUACACUAGUUGGGGGUGUAUACAGGCUAAUUGGGGGUAAAGAGUGCAAUGAACUUUAUAAGACAGCAACAAAAUACGAGAUGGGGAAAAUGAAAACAAAUUAUGACUAAUUACAAACAAAUAAAAUAGAUACAGUGCCUCUCCAAUUUAGAGUUAACUAUAGUGAAAUAUGGUGACAAUAUACAAUGAGUAAAAGUGGAAAACUGCCUAUUUUGUAUGGUACGUAUUGAGAGAUAUUUGUAAAGUAAGAAAACCAUUAAUGCCCAGUACUGCCACUAGAGGGCACCUUUGCCUCAUAACAUUUAUGGAGUGAGAUAUGAGAAAAUGAAGUAUUAAGGAAGAAUUCCUAUAAUUUUUGUCCUUGACUUUCGUUCUUUAGAGUAAAUCGCCAUUACCCAAAAGAAACAGAAUUGCAGAAAUUCUCAGAGGUAUUAUAGGCAAAAAUUAUGGGUAAAAUCCAAAAGGUAGAGAUUACUUUAUAUCUGUAGUUAGAGGAGUGUUCUUUUUGCAUUUUAUAUUUAGCCACGCCUCCUGUACCCAUUAAAAAAAAUAAUUACUUACGCCUAACCCAGAAAUGAGAGACUCCUAACUGCAGCUCCCUGCGUGACAGCCAGGUGGUGAUAUUAAGGGGAAUCAAUACAUCAGUUACAGCAUUGUUCUAGAGCUGUAUGACACAGAAGGCAGGGCUCACCUGAUCACACAGUAUUGUUCUAGAGCUGUAUGACGCAGAAGGUGG